rnacentral:tRNA from 1 species
GGUUCUAUAGCUUAGAUGGUAAAGUCCUCUGCCCAUAACAGAGUUAACGCAGGUUCAAGCCCUGCUAGAGCCA